AAACAAGGAAAGGUAUCCUAAGCACUCCACACAAUGGUCAAGCUCAUCAAAUCACAUAUAUUUCUUUUUUGUAUGUGCUUUCUCAUGUUGCUUGCGUCUUAUCAAUGUAACUUUCUAUCACCUUGUAUUAUAUCCUUACAUUUUCUGUCUUUCUACUUAAAGCAAUAUUGUGGAUUUUGGAUGUAUAGGUACAAAAAAUGAAGUCAGUGACAUCAAAAGUAUUGGGAUUUUAGAACCUGGAACGUGCACUCUGAAGUGUAAGAAACGUCGUGCAAACUUAUUUUGUUGUUGUGGAGGGGGCAACGUAUGUGCCAAAACCAGACCAGCUUGUAGGAGCAAAUGUGGAGAGAAAUGUUGUGCCACAAAAUAGUAAUUAUCAUAAUUAUUGGAUAAUCAUCCAAUGAAUUAUAAAGUUUCUAUAUUCUAUACUAUAUUGUUGCCGAGAUGAUCAUGUUUAUGG
rnacentral:lncRNA from 1 species